CACAGUCCCAUCACCUGCUGCAUCAAAUAACUCAAUUUACAUUCACACAGGUAAUUUUCUCCUCAUAUUUAUUUGCUCCCCACUUUAUUUAUGAUCUGUUGUACCAAUUAAAUUGACUUUUCUUCUGGCCUGAAAGGUAGCAGUAUUUGCUCACCUGUGCUUUGGAAUUAACAUCCAGGCUUAUGCACCAGAUUGUGUGCCCGGACCUUUCUAACGGGCCAUGCUUACAGUGGUGUAUUUGAAAACACAGGCAUGGAGCAGCAUCAUCUGCUGGGAAAAGCCAGAUCAAAUAACAGAUUCAGAUUUGCCAAAGUCAUUAAUUUCACAUGCUGGCAGUGGAAGUCCUUGUGGCUACAGAAUGAGAAAUGUUUUCAAUAAAAGGUUUGAAUUCCUGUUUAAUCAUCACAGCUGCCAUUUGGGAACCAGGCAGGUAUUUUGGUGCUUGACAAAAAAGAAACAAAACCCCCUUUUCCCAGUACAAAAUUUGUCAUAGGCUUGCAGUUGUGGUUGGUAGAAAAAAAGUUGUUUGUUAUGUAUCAUUCCUUUCUCUUAAACUGAAUAAACCCACACUGCAUUUGUCCACCUGGACUGCAAUAAAUCCAAAAUUAAGUAUGUACCGCUCUUCACUCAACCGUAACCAUUGUGCAAUCCUGGUACCCCACUAAUCCAGUGAUGUCUGUCAUAAAAUAACAUGUGAAAGACAUUCAAAUAUUCAUACAAAUAUUGCAGAUUAUGGGGACUAACUUGUGUGACUUUGAAGACUUUGGAGGGAUUCAUAGGAGUAAAUCUAUGUGGGAGCUGACAUUUUAAUAACUUCAAUUUACAGAGUGGAAUUAUGUGUGUACUUGUGUGAAGUACUUAUGUUCUUGUGGACCUGUGUGGACAAUUCUAUGAAGCAAAUUUAGGGCCAACAUGUUUGAAAGCAAAAAAACAAGACUAAGAUUCUCUGCAAGAUGUACAAACGCAUAGUGGUGCUUCAAGCUAAAUUAAAAGUUACUCUAGCUUGCUAGCAUGCUAACAUUUCAUCUAAUUCCUGCAGGCUAAAAAACAAAGUACAAAAUUACGGCAGAGGCUGAUAGGAAUAUUAUUAGUUUUGCAGGUAUGCAGUCAGGGGAUCACCAAAGUGAUUACAAGUCAUCCUGAGGGGGACCGAAUCAUGUUAUACUCACCACUCUGCUGUUCUCAGUUGCUUUCUCUUACUGAGUCAUGCUCUAAUGAAUUCCAGACAUUUCCUAUAAUACUCUCCCUGUGUGUGUGUGUCUAAUUGUGUGAGUGGAGAAAGGUGUGCUGGAGUCAGAGCAGAGCCACACCAGCGGCACCUCAUCCCAAUAAUCAAGACCUCUACAAAUAUUCCACUCUGCCAGAUUGUAGCUUCUGCACCAGUCAGUCUAUGCUUUGAGCCAUUUUUCAUGCAUUACCAGUUUUCCUGUUGUUGCCAGUUUUUUUCCUUUGCCUAUACCUGUCUGCUGUUUCGCUGCAGUUCCAUCUGCUCUGGUUCCAGCCCUUGUCUCCAGUCCCUCGUUUCGUAUCAUCAGCUGUGCUUACCUGCCCCACUCUUCACAGCUUCCAGCCCAAUCCUCAGGCCCAGGUUCCCAGUUUCCAGCCCAAUCCUCAGCCCCAGGUUCCCAGCUUCCAGCCCAAUCCUCAGCCCCAGGUUCCCAGCUUCCAGCCCAGUCCGCAGCCUCUGUUUCCCAGUUACCAGCCCAAACUUCCUCAGGGCUGCAUUCCUUUUUCCCAAGCCUUCACAAUAAAUACCAUAUCCCUGACUCCUCACCGUGAGUGUCUGCACUUGGGUUCAGCUGCUCCACCCCACUUAACUGUAUGAUCUGCUGCUACUACUCCAAGCUGCUGGACCCCAGUCUUGUUUCCAGUUGCCGGACUCCGGUCAUGCACUCCAACAACUGGACUCCAGUCCUGUCCUGGCAUCUGGUUGACCUUCAGAGUGGUCUCGCUCAUCUGCCCUGUCAUCUGGUUGGCCUCCAGAGAGGUUUGGAUCAUCUGCCCUGCCGUCUCUUCGGUCUCCCGAGUAGUCUCACUCAUCUGUCUUGUCAUCUGGUCAGCCUCCCGAGUGGUCUUGCUCAGCUUUCUUGCCAUCUGGUCGACCUCCAGAGAAGCUCUGCCCAAUUAUCCUGAUGUCUGGUCAUCCUCCUGCCCAUCCUCCAGAGUGACUGGAGAGUGACUCUGCCCAUUUACCCUGUCUUCCAGUCAAGGUUUCCAGCCCCUGCUUCCUGGAUCCUGUACUGUUAUGAUUCUGUGUUUCCUUAACCUGCUGCCACUCUCCCAGUGGCUCUCUCCCUCUCUAUCCCUGUGUGUGUGUGUGUGUGUGUGUGUAUCUGAUAGUGUGAGUGGAGACAGGUGUGCUUGAGUCAGAGCAGAGCCAUACCAGCUGCACCUUAUCUCAAAAAUCAAGAUCUCUACAAACUCAAACUACUCAACCCUGCCACUUCCACUCUGCCAGAUCGUAGCUUCUGCAUCAUCCUGUCUGCUUUGGCUCCAGCCCCUUGUCUCAUCAGCCCAGCUUCCCCGCCCUGGAUCCCCGCUCUUCCCAGCUUCCAGGCUGAGUCUCAGCCCCAGGUUCCCAGCUUCCAGGCUGAGCCUCAGCCCCAGGUUCCCAGUUUCCAACCCAAUCCUCAGCCCCAGAUUCCCAGCUUUCAGCCCAGUCCUCAGCCCAAGGUUCCCAGCUUUCAGCCCAAUUCUCAGCCUCAGUUCCCUGUUAUCAGCCCAAGCUGCCCCAGGUCUGCUUUCCCUUUCCCCAGCCAACACAAUAAAUACUCUGUUUCUACCAUA